AGGUUGAGGUGCGGCGCGGGCCCUCCUCCCAUUGGAUCCGGCGCUCCCGGCAGGAUGGGCUGCCCACACUCCAGGGCUUUCUCACAGGAAGGACUCCUGGCCAAAUUCAGUCAUCUCAACAUAUGAGGCAGUGAGGACUUCUGGGCUACAGCUGCAGGAUGCUGAAGCACCAGCUGCUGAGCAUGCAGUGGUUCAGGGGCAAGGCAGCAAAGCUAUUUGGCAGAAGAUGUAACAUAAAUGGAGAUAGAGCAUUGGCGAACUGGCACAGUGGUGUCAGCAAAGCAUCAGAAUCUGGGCCAGAGUGAGACCUUUCUAGCCUGCCCCAGUGUCACCCUGAUCCAAGGGCCUUCAGGCCUACAGAAUUGGGCAUGAAACAGCAAAGGAUGGCCUCUGCUUCCACCACCAUCAGAAAUGUUAUAUUUUCACCAGUGCACCAUAAUGUAGCAGUCUCUCCAUAAUGUAGCAGGUGAGGUAUCACCUGGAGUUCUUCGUCUCAUGACCAAGAAAAUUAAGGAGCGUGGAUGCAAAGGAUGAAGUUGCAGCGAAAGUUUAAUAAGCAAAAGAAGAAAGCUCUCCACAGUGGAGAGGGGACCUGGAGGAGGGUUGCUGCUUUUACAGGGGGUGACCUUUAUCUUCAUGGCCCAGUGUGACUGCAAGAGCUCUAGCAUCCAAGUUCCCAGCAGAAGGAUGGAGGACUGGCUGGAAAAACAAGGAGACACAGGGUAUGCAUCAGAGUCCCCUCUUGUUGCCCAGGCUGGAGUGCAGCAGCAUGAUUACAGCUCACAUCAGCCUCGACCUCCCGGGCUCAAGCUAUCCUCCUACCUCAGCCUCCCAAGUAGCUGGGACUAUAGGAUCUUUCUGCUGAUGCAGCUGUUAAGAGUGUUUCAUAAACUGUGACAACACUAAGAGGCCAGGUGCAGUGCAUGUAAUCCCAGCACUUUGGGAGACUGAGAUGGGAAGAUCGCUUGAGGCCAGGAGUGCAAGACCAGCCUGGGCAACACAGCAAGACCUUGAUUCUACUAAAAAAAAAAAAGGAUCCUUCAACUUCAACAAUAAUAACACAAGGGAAGGCAAAGUCUUGCUCUGUUGUCCAGGCUGGAGUGCAGUCGUGCAGUCAUGGCUCACUGUAGUCUCAACCUUCCAGGCCCAGGCAAUCCUCCCAUCUCAAACUGCCCAGUGGCUAGUACCACAGUGAAGAAAAACACUUUCUAAGGAAAUCUCUCUCUGAGCUACCAUCCUGCUAGGGAGAGCCUGAAAGCAGAAUGCUGACUUGACUAGCUCUGGUCAAUGAAAGAAAUCACCAGUGGAAAGGCUACCAGGGGGCUUUCUCAAAAGAGAGGGACAGUAAACUGCAAGAUGAACAACUCAAUGCCAUCCAGGUCUGGAUGAGAAAGAACAGUCGAGAGACUGAGUUUCAGGAGUGGAAACACUCAAAGCAUCAUCUUCCACUUUCUUCUCCGGCUGCUAGGAAGAAGGGAAAAACACAGACCUUCUGAGGACCUGCGGAGCAAACCACUGGCUUCAGAAAAGCAAACAGGGACUUCCCUCUGCGCAGCAGGAAGCAGUUAGCCUAGUCGGAGGCUUGACUGAAGAAACAAAUGAGGGAAGGCAGAAGUUGAGACGCAGCCAGUAGAGGAAACUCCGGGAGAGGCAGGCAGCGUCACUUGAAGAAAAGCUCUAUUGUGAUGGGAACAAUCACAGGAACUAAGCGGCAACAAAAUGGCUCCCCACCCCCUCUGCAAAUCCCAACUCCAUGCAAGCACUCUCCCUUCCCUCAUUUUCUUUUCUUUUUUUUUGAGAUGGAGUCUCGCUCUGUUGCCCAGGCUGGAGUGCAGUAGCGCGAUCUCGGCUCACUGCAACCUCCACCUUCUGGUUUCAAGCAAUUCUCCUGCCUCAGCCUCCCCAGUAGCUGGGACUACAGGCGUGUGCCACCACGCCUGGCUAAUUUUUUUUUUUAAUUUUUAGUAGAGACAGAGUUUCACCAUGUUGGCCAGGCUGGUCUCGAACUCCUGGCCUCAAGUGAUCCACCUGCCUCAGCCUCCCAAAGUGGUGGGAUUACAGGUGUAAGCGACCACGCCCGGCCUUUUAAAAUCGACUUGAGUCUCAUCUCCUGAAAUGCAAAAUGCAUUGGGCCUGUCUCUUACUUCUGCAUGUCUCAUAAUGCUUAGCACAGCACAAGCCCCGAGAGCGCAUCAUACACCCUGGGGUGGGGAGCUCCUGGCAGGGCUGGAUCCACUCACCAUUCCUGCCAUCCAUUGGCACUUGGCUCAGCACAGUUAGGCCAACAAGGACAUAAUAGACAAGUCCAAAACAGUACUGCACGACGUGAAUCAUGACAUUGGAGAAGACACUGACGUAGAGGCACUCGAAGAGUCUUCGUAAGCUGUGCAGCCACAGAAAUACUAGCACUAAGAAUGCAGACAGUGCCAGCUCCCCUCCUACAAUUCAGAAGGCAACAGGGUCAGCAUUUCUCUUCUGGGAUUAAUCCAAAGUUUUGUUUUUCUGUACUGUUAAGCAAAGUAUUAAAUCCCAUCUAACAUC
rnacentral:lncRNA from 1 species